AGUCUGUUAUGAUCACCUCGGAGGUCACGUGGGGUCAGAAAAUCAGAAGGCUGAUUUAUUAUGAUCCGAUUAUUUAACUUUUCGAAAUAGUUGUGGCUACAAUGUGCACUUCCUCGUUGGCUGUGAGUUCUGCUGUGUCGGUGUUCUGGUGCCUGAUGGAGGACACCUGUGUGAAGCAGAGGAACAUAAUGAGUUUAAAACAGGAUCCGGUGUCACGGUAACAACAUUUAGCAGCGUCCCAUGAGGUCGUCGUCGCUCCGUCAAGCUUCUCUCCUUCAGCUGAACGGUGACUCUGGGACGCGGCAGCCCGUCGUUCAGCAGCGCCGUGUGUCUAAUGGCUGCUCGCCGAGGCUCCGGGGAUACAUGGGGCUACGAAAUGGAGCAGAGUUGGGCAGCAGAUGGCUGGUCUCCAAGCUCCCAGGAUCCCGCUCGGCUUCGCCAAACAGGAACAGGUGCUGGGGAAAAGUAGGAAGUGAGCUGUGGGCCCGAGCGGCAGCAGGAGACCCCUGACCAGCUGGCGAGGAGAAAGAUGGAACGACUUGGCAGCGGAAAAGAGGGAAAACCUGUAUAAUGUGGAAGAGAGAGGCCGACAUGAGAGGCAGCAACCCACUGCAUGAUGGGAGAUUAAUUCAAAUCUCCUCAAAUCAUAUUUGACACGUCUCGUGUCUCUGAAGGUCCCAGGAAGACGUCACCCGUCCAACAGAAUUAAAGACGAGCGUCACAGGGAGAAGAGCAUUUUGUUCAUAUUAGAAUCAAUUUAAUCAUAUUUUAUCACUUUUAUUUUCAUCAUGUAUCAUCUAAUAUUUUCUUUUAAUCUUCAAUUUUCCAUUUUAUUUCAGUUUUUUUAAUUUCACGAUUUUUGUUCCCAGCCCUGAAAUGUUCAACCACAUUAAAACUAAAGUUAUUAUUAUUUUCCCAAUAUCAAAUCAAAACUAACAGUAAAAGUUAAAAAAAGAGUGGUUUGACAUUUAGAGAAAUGCUCUUAUGGUCUUCUUUUGUUCAGAUGAAUACCUUUGCAUAGCGUUAUGCUAAGCUAAGCCUAGCUUAGCGUAAAGACAGGAAUUGGAGGGGAAACAGUUAGCUUCGCUCUGACCAAAGUUUAAAAAGACAAAACUCAGCGAAACAAAUAAAUGAUCUUACUGUUAAAUGUGUAGAUAUAAAGAGUAAAGACCCUAAAACAUUCUCCUCUAUGUAAAAACAGAUUUUCUGAAACUCUUUGAGGUGAACCUCUCAUUAGUCAGUAUUUUCCUGUGGUUGUAGAUGAACGAUGAAUUCCUUCCUGACACGAGUCAGUGUUUGUUCCAGAAGCGUCUGUGAGGAGAGCUCCUCUCCCUCCUGCUGCGUACAGACAAGACUCAGUGUGUUGAAGAGAUGGAGCGGGGCCCCGGCCUCAGUGUGGUGGGGGCCCUCCUCUCAGCGGGGGGCUCCUCUGAAGUCUGGAGCAGCUGCUGGGGCUCAGGUCGCGUCGCGUCCGGGCCCUCGGAGCUGGAGCCGAUCCUCGGAGCCGAGGGCAGAAUCAAAGCCGGCGGCGCCGCUGAGAGAACCGAGGAACUAUUGAUCAGCGGCCGCGAAGCGAUGUUCAACAUCAGAGGCCGUCGCAGACGAGGCGACACGAGAGAGCGAGAGGAGGGAGUUCACAAUGGAGCUGCUCAGCAGGGGGCCUCAUAUUCACUCACUCAUCUAUUCAUUUCAGUUUUAAUACAUUAAAAUGUUUAAUGUCAUGUUAAAUUUUAUUCACGAACAUCACCUUCCUGCUCACUAUAAAUACAAUGAAAUAGAAAUAUUAUAAUUUCCUCAUGUAUAUCACAUGCUGGUGAAAUAACACUGAGGUACGACAUCACUGACGCUUUUCUUAUUUCCUCAUAAUUAGUAAUAAUCUCGUCUUGUGGUCGUCGGCCUUUCAGAUUUCUGGCUGAAAUUCAUUAUCAUAUUUGAUUUAAUCAUUAUUGGUAACUGGCGGUGGUUUCCUCUCACGUGUCUCUUCUCUAAUUGGCCGCUCAGCAGACAGAUCUACGUGUCAAUUAGGCCUCGGCACAUGAAGCUUUAAUGAGGUUCAAUUAAAUGACGGGUCGUGUGGACAGCAGUUAGUCGGUGACAAGUUAAAAGGAAGCAGAACUGAUGUUUCCUAAUGAUCCAAAAUGCCGUCUCCAUUUCAAAAAAGGUGAAAGGUUUAAAGUUCUGUCUGGUUUUUCUUUCCAGUGUCUGUAUCUCUGUCUCUGGGCAACGUGAACGUCUUCUGAGUCUCUCGAGCGUCGGGCCUGUGGUUUGUGGCUGAAGAGUCUCUCCUGAAAGUAAAGAGGCCGAGUCUUCAGUCGUCUCCCCCUGCGACGCAGGCCGACACACAAACACACAGCUGCAGGUGGAAACACCUGCUGCACCGACUGAGCUCUGCAGCGGGAACAUGAGGAGCGAGCAGCCGCGCUGACAUCAGCACCGACGCUCCAUCACUGCGCUGCCGCUCUGACAUUUUUAUUUGUUUCCUCCAAAUGUGCGAUUGGCAAAGUGCGUCGCUGCAGCCUGAACCCGGAGCAGCGGCCAAGAGCGAAUCCUUCACUGCUGAUGAGACGAUACUCUGACAUUUGUGAGGGCCGAGUCUCGCAGAGGUCGACGUAAAUGUCAGCCAAGCACUGAAACACCGUCUGCUGUCGGAGCGACUGCUGCAGCCACAGACACGCGAUGAAACCACAGACCGGUGGUUCAUCCUGAAGGGAACAUGAAUAUUUCAACCACACAUCAUUGGAAUCCAUCAGACGUUUCAGUGUGAACCGAAGAAGAGGAGCGACUGACGAACCAACGGGUUCACCUGCACCUGACAAAGACGAACAACCUCCUGAUCAAGGCCUGUACAUUAUGAACUAAUGAGGAACAGAACUACGGUCUCAUGAUUAACGAUGGUUAUAUCUAAUAUGUAUCAACAGUCAAGAAAAGAUAUGAAAAGACUUUUUAAAACCCCUUUGUUCUCUGAGGUCGUGCAGAUGAUCUGAACUGACGUCACCCUCAACUGGCAAAAGGGAAGUCGACAGACCUGUUCAACCAAUAAUUAGCCUUUUUUCUUCUUCUUUUCAAACAGUCAGGAGACAUGAACUCAGACAGAUUUGAUGUCAGCUGGACGUUGGUUUUUAUGUCUUCGUGGACCUUGGGCCAGGCCUGCUCCGGCCAUCUGUCCACGAUGGCAGCCGCCGCCGCCGCUGAAGACAGGCCGGACGCUGACUGGACGCUGCCACUCGGCACUCACAGGAACGUUUCACAAGCUGCUCCCCUCAAACACAAACACACAACUUUCAUUUGUUCUGCCCCAAAGUUCACAGAAAGUCUCAGUGCCCCUGAACGGGGGGAAUGAAAUACCAACAUGCAACAGCCUGAUGAUAUUUAAUAAGGUCCAGUCUACCAUCAGUGAACAUGAAAGACAGAGUUCAUUAUUUCAGCUGCUGGUAAAAUUAAUCAAAUAAAUGUCAUCUUUUGAAACAUU